rnacentral:ncRNA from 2 species
GGUCAUGAGCGCCAGCGCACAGCCCCGGCUUGCUGGCCGGCAACCCUUCCGACGGGGUGCUCCGGGUGACGACCAGGCCUGCGCCGACGUCCGGCGCGGGCAAGCCGAGCCC